GUAGGGGGCAAGCGUUGUCCGGAAUUAUUGGGCGUAAAGCGCGCGCAGGCGGUCUCUUAAGUCCGAUGUGAAAGCCCACGGCUCAACCGUGGAGGGUCAUUGGAAACUGGGGGACUUGAGUGUAGGAGAGGAAAGUGGAAUUCCAUGUGUAGCGGUGAAAUGCGUAGAUAUGUGGAGGAACACCAGUGGCGAGGGCGACUUUCUGGCCUACAACUGACGCUGAGGUGCGAAAGCGUGGGGAGCAAACAGGGAUUAGAUACCCUGGUAGUCCACGCCGUAAACGAUGAGUGCUAGGUGUUAGGGGUUUCGAUGCCCUUAGUGCCGAAGUUAACACAUUAAGCACUCCGCCUGGGGAGUACGACCCGCAAGGUUG
rnacentral:rRNA from 1 species